rnacentral:rRNA from 1 species
GAUCAUGGCUCAGAUUGAACGCUGGCGGCAGGCCUAACACAUGCAAGUCGAACGGUAACAGGAAGAAGCUUGCUUCUUUGCUGACGAGUGGCGGACGGGUGAGUAAUGGUCUGGGAAACUGCCUGAUGGAGGGGGAUAACUACGUGGAAACGGUAGCUAAUACCGCAUAACGUCGCAAGACCAAAGAGGGGGACCUUCGGGCCUCUUGCCAUCGGAUGUAGCCCAGAUGGGAUUAGCUAGUAGGG